GUUCGUUCUCCCGGCUAUUCUUCCGGGUUGGCUUGCCCCCGUGUGUGGUUCUUCUCUUUGGAUGUGUUCCCCUAGGAGAGGUGAAUUCCUGGGACGUUUGGGCUGGCGUGUGGAGGUAUUUGAGGACUAUUGUGGGGUUUCGGCUAUCUGGCUGUGCAACAGAUAUAUCAGCGAUCGAGUGGAGAUAUUCAGGACAGAAAGAGUGUGAGUUCUGGAAAGCAAGUGAAGACCAGACCGCGCCAUCGCUAUCGGAGGGAAGUUAAGAGACCUGAUCUGGGACUUCGAUCAAUUGUAUACUUCUGGACUGGGAGUGAUAACGUUGUGAAGUGGACGGAGUCAUCGUUGGGUGAGUGCUGGCUCUAUUUGCACUAAGAGUGGGUGUGCCGUGUCUGAAGUGGUGUGUUUGCACAAUAAAUCGUUUGAAGUGAAGUUACAGAGUGUGGGGAAGAUAUAUAGAGUUAAUGCCGGACGCUCACCACCCCGAGAGCCCACCACCGUCACCGUAAUCCACACCCAGGCACUCAACUGAAGUAUCCCCCAGCCGUAAGCCCCAUUUCUUAUUCAAGAACACAUACAUGCUGUUGAUUACUUACCCCGCUGUGUAGAUCGCAGGAUCCUCUGGGCCGAACGCCGCAUGUGAUGUCCCUAUGAAAGGAGAUCGCAGGAUCCUCUGGGCCGAACGCCGCAUGUGAUGUCCCUAUGAAAAGAGGUGGACACAAGAAUUAUUCCUUUCCCGGUCACAACCGAAGCCUCUCCCAGCCGUAAGCCCCACUACUUAUUCAAGAACACAUACUUGCUGUUGAUUACUUACUCUGCUGUGCAGAUCGCAGGAUCCUCUGGGCCGAACGCCGCAUGUGAUGUCCCUAUGAAAAGAGAUCGCAGGAUCCUCUGGGCCGAACGCCGCAUGUGAUGUCCCUAUGAAAAGAGGUGGACACAAGAAUUAUUCCUUUCCCGGUCACAACCGAAGCCUCUCCCAGCCGUAAGCCCCACUACUUAUUCAAGAACACAUACUUGCUGUUGAUUACCUACUCUGCUGUGCAGAUCGCAGGAUCCUCUGGGCCGAAUGCUGCAUGUGAUGUCCCUGUAGAAAGAGAUCGCAGGAUUCUCUGGGCCGAAUGCUGCAUGUGAUGUCCCUGUAGAAGGAGGUGGACACGAGAAUUAUUCCUUUUCCCGGUCUCGACCGAAACAUCCACGAGCUCUACUUACCCGGAUACCCCCCCCUCACUCCGGGACGGGUGACAGACUAUCCUGGCUCUUGCUGGCCCCGUACAGGCACGAACUGCUGACGACUCCACGCCUUCCCGGCGUCCGAGGUCUGGCUCCGUUCUGGUCGGGAGACACGGAAGGAACACUGAACUUUUAAAUUGCUUUUAACCAAAUAAAACCUUGUUCAUUUUUUUUAUACUCUCGUCCGUCUGGUUCUUCUGGUACGCUCCCCGAGGUGAUCCUGGGUUUCAGGGGUGGGUGCAGUCUGGCUUGGCCCCCCCGACCUGUGACAGAUUCAUGUUGGACGCAGCUGCCAUCAGACCCAGCAAUCUCCGAGACUGCUUGACAGUGAGUGACUGGCCUUCUCUCAAUCUCGUGACUGCAGUGAGGACCGACUCGAUCUGAGCAGGUGACAUGCAUUGUGGUCAAAUCCCACACCACGAAAAAAAAAGCAGAGAAAGCACACUUUUCUUGGCCUUAGGUCUCAUGCUAAAGGUCAAAGGGGCCUGCCCUCCGAGGUUCUGAGCCGCAGCAUCAUUUUUUUUUCUUUUUGCCAGGGACAACACACAGCCUGAACGCUGCCUGUUCUCGCCCAAAACUUACCUUAAUUGAAGCUAUGACAAUGGAGUUUAUCAGUGGAAAAACGACACUAAAUAAGACUCACAAACAGAUACACAGACACAUACACAGAGCGCUUGCUGAAAAUAGAAGGCUGAUUACUGGCUUCGCCGCUCAUGCUUUUAUGCUUCUUGGUCUCUGACGUCACCCGCCUAUGACGUCUCGCCCUUCCAUUGGACUGAUUACACACGUUAUUCAAGAGACAUCAUGCUGGGGGUGUUUCCCAAUCAUUCUUGACGCAGCUCGAGUUCCUGAAGAGGAGAUCUUUCACCCAUAGAAAACAUUUGGCGCAUCAUAAAGAACAAGAUGU